rnacentral:lncRNA from 1 species
CGCCGCGGCCCCACCCUCCCGCAUCAGCACCGGCUGGGUGGGUGCGGAGUGCGCCAGCGGCCAAGUCAAGACUCCUUGAAUGCUCAGGAAGGUGUGACUUGCAGAGGAGUUGAUUCCUUCUUAUGUACAUUUACUGGAGAAGUUUACAGCAGGAGACUGGGGUCUGAGACACACGCAUCUUUGUGUGCCCCAAAGAAUAAAGCCCUCAAAGGAUGUGAAGCCUGAACUCACUUCAAAUGCUGGAAAGGCCCUUUCCUUAGCUGAGCUGUGGAGGAACCAGGACUCCUGUGGCACUGCCCUAACGAGGAGGCAGUGCUGCCAGAUUCAGGUCUGCAAGACAGCUUUGAUUCAGCUGAUUUCAGCCAGGCUCACCCCGACUUUGCAGGGCGCUGCGAACCCCAGCCUUCAGGUCGGGUUCAGCAUCCAGCAGUGCCCUGGAAAAGUGGCUGUGAAGUUACUUGCAAGACUGCAUUGAACCCGGGCGAGACACUUCUCAGGGGAGCUGUCCAGCUACAUUCUCUGAGUGAA